rnacentral:rRNA from 1 species
AUGGGGCGUGAGUACAACAUGAGCUACUAUCUGGUUGACGGUAUCUAUCCUCUGUGGGCUAACUUUGUCAACACCAUCUCUAACCCAGUUGGCCAGAAAAAGUAUCACUUUGCCCAAAGUCAAGAAGCAGCUAGAAAGAAUGUUGAGAGAGCAUUUAGAGUUCUGCAGGCACGUUUUGCAGUUGUUUGUGGACCUGCUAAACAAUGGGAGCCGAAGACCUUGUGGGGGGUGAUGAUCUGUUGUGUGAUCAUGCACGACAUGAUGGUGGAGGAUAAUGGUAAGGAUGCUGCCGCGGGUCUUGAAUUUGAGAACAUGGAUGAUCCUAUCGAACUUCCCGACCACAAUCCGGUCACUUUUGAAGAGUUUGUUCAAAUGCAUCAACAAAUUCGGUAUCGAGCAACUCACAAGCAACUGAAAGAAUAUAUGAUUGAGUAUCUGUGGGCGGUAAGAGGGACAACAAUGUUGGUGCGUAAUAUUUGA